rnacentral:rRNA from 1 species
UACGUAGGUGGCAAGCGUUGUCCGGAUUUACUGGGCGUAAAGAGCGCGCAGGCGGUCGUUCAAGUCGCGUGUGAAAGCCCCCGGCUCAACUGGGGAGGGUCACGCGAUACUGAUCGACUCGAAGGCAGGAGAGGGUAGUGGAAUUCCCGGUGUAGUGGUGAAAUGCGCAGAUAUCGGGAAGAACACCCGUGGCUAAGGCGGCUCUCUAGUACGGUACUGACGCUGAGACGCGAAAGCGUGGGGAGCGAACAGG